rnacentral:rRNA from 1 species
GACGAACGCUGGCGGCGUGCCUAAUACAUGCAAGUCGAGCGAAGUUUUUCUGGUGCUUGCACCGGAAAAACUUAGCGGCGAACGGGUGAGUAACACGUAAAGAACCUGCCUCAUAGACUGGGACAACUAUUGGAAACGAUAGCUAAUACCGGAUAACAGCAUUAACUGCAUGGUUGAUGUUUAAAAGUUGGUUUUGCUAACACUAUGAGAUGGCUUUGCGGUGCAUUAGCUAGUUGGUGGGGUAAAGGCCUACCAAGGCGACGAUGCAUAGCCGACCUGAGAGGGUGAUCGGCCACACUGGGACUGAGACACGGCCCAGACUCCUACGGGAGGCAGCAGUAGGGAAUCUUCCGCAAUGGGCGAAAGCCUGACGGAGCAACGCCGCGUGAGUGAAGAAGGAUUUCGGUUCGUAAAGCUCUGUUGUUAGGGAAGAAUGAUUGUGUAGUAACUAUACACAGUAGAGACGGUACCUAACCAGAAAGCCACGGCUAACUACGUG